GUACUACUCUCAGAGUUUGAUCCUGGCUCAGGAUGAACGCUGACAGAAUGCUUAACACAUGCAAGUCGACUCGAGUCUUCGGACUUGGGUGGCGCACGGGUGAGUAACGCGUAAGAACUUGCCUCUUAGACCGGGACAACAUCUGGAAACGGAUGGUAAUACCGCAUAACGUCAUGGGACCGCAUGAUCCUAUGACCAAAGGAGCAAUCCGCUGAGAGAUGGACUCGCGUCCGAUUAGCUAGUUGGAGAGGUAACGGCUCCCCAAGGCGACGAUCGGUAGCCGGACUGAGAGGUUGAACGGCCACAUUGGGACUGAGACACGGCCCAG
rnacentral:rRNA from 1 species